GAUGAAGCCCACUUGUGGGUGGAUUAGUGGCGAACGGGUGAGUAACACGUGAGUAACCUGCCCUUGACUCUGGGAUAAGCCUGGGAAACUGGGUCUAAUACCGGAUAUGACUGAUCAUCGCAUGGUGGUUGGUGGAAAGCUUUUUGUGGUUUUGGAUGGACUCGCGGCCUAUCAGCUUGUUGGUGAGGUAAUGGCUUACCAAGGCGACGACGGGUAGCCGGCCUGAGAGGGUGACCGGCCACACUGGGACUGAGACACGGCCCAGACUCCUACGGGAGGCAGCAGUGGGGAAUAUUGCACAAUGGGCGCAAGCCUGAUGCAGCGACGCCGCGUGAGGGAUGACGGCCUUCGGGUUGUAAACCUCUUUCAGUAGGGAAGAAGCGAAAGUGACGGUACCUGCAGAAGAAGCGCCGGCUAACUACGUGCCAGCAGCCGCGGUAAUACGUAGGGCGCAAGCGUUAUCCGGAAUUAUUGGGCGUAAAGAGCUCGUAGGCGGUUUGUCGCGUCUGCCGUGAAAGUCCGGGGCUCAACUCCGGAUCUGCGGUGGGUACGGGCAGACUAGAGUGAUGUAGGGGAGACUGGAAUUCCUGGUGUAGCGGUGAAAUGCGCAGAUAUCAGGAGGAACACCGAUGGCGAAGGCAGGUCUCUGGGCAUUAACUGACGCUGAGGAGCGAAAGCAUGGGGAGCGAACAGGAUUAGAUACCCUGGUAGUCCAUGCCGUAAACGUUGGGCACUACGUGUGGGGGACAUUCCACGUUUUCCGCGCCGUAGCU
rnacentral:rRNA from 1 species